GGGCCCAUAGCUCAAGGGCAGAGCUGCCGGCUCAUAACCGGGAGGUUCCAGGUUCGAACCCUGGUGGGCCCA
rnacentral:tRNA from 1 species